rnacentral:rRNA from 1 species
CGGCUCCUACGGGAGGCAGCAGUCGAGAAUCUUUCGCAAUGCCCGCAAGGGUGACGAAGCGACGCCGCGUGGGUGAGGAAGGCCUUCGGGUUGUAAAGCCCUGUCAGGAGUUAUGAAAUGUAGGUGCGCUAAUAUCGUGCUUAUUUGACAAAGGCUCCAAAGGAAGCCACGGCUAACUCUGUGCCAGCAGCCGCGGUAAUACAGAGGUGGCGAGCGUUGUUCGGAAUUAUUGGGCGUAAAGAGCACGUAGGUGGGUUUGCAAGUCAGAUGUGAAAGCCUUCUGUUCAACGGAAGAAUUGCAUCUGAAACUGCUAAUCUUGAGUAUAGGAGGGGAGAAUGGAACUUCUGGUGGAGCGGUGAAAUGCGUAGAUAUCAGAAGGAACGCCGGCGGCGAAAGCGAUUCUCUGGCCUAUUACUGACACUCAGUGUGCGAAAGCUAGGGGAGCAAACGGGAUUAGAUACCCCGGUAGUCCAAGCC